AUGGGUAGCAUACGGACUCAAACAAAAUGCAACAUAAGAGAAAUUGAGGAGGAAUCGUGGGUACCGAGCUGGGCGGAGAUCCUGGAGCGCUUGCUUAGGAGGAGCAGGCCGGCGCCUCUCUUCUUGGGCGUAAGCGGGGUAGUGAAGGCGGUGGCACCGCCGCCGGAGGCGAGGAGCGGCGACGGAGCAACCCUGAGGGCCAUGGUGGCUGUUGCUGGGUUGGUCUGUGUGGAGGAGGAAAAGAGCUCUCCUGCCUCAUGCACCACGCACCCUAUAACUCCCCCUCACCUUUCGGCCGCGUAG
rnacentral:rRNA from 1 species